rnacentral:rRNA from 1 species
UACAGAGGUCUCAAGCGUUGUUCGGAUUCAUUGGGCGUAAAGGGUGCGUAGGCGGCGCGGUAAGUCGGGUGUGAAAUUUCGAGGCUUAACUUCGAAACUGCAUUCGAUACUGCCGUGCUAGAGGACUGGAGAGGAGACUGGAAUUUACGGUGUAGCGGUGAAAUGCGUAGAUAUCGUAAGGAAGACCAGUGGCGAAGGCGGGUCUCUGGACAGUUCCUGACGCUGAGGCACGAAGGCCAGGGGGAGCAAAACGGGG